GCAUGUUUAGUCCUUUAAUUUUUUUUCCUAGUACUACCUCCACGAUCCCACACUCCUAAUCAUAUGAGCUAAAAUGUUGCACAUUCAAUCUUUGAGAAGAUAUAAAGAAAAAGACAUAUACAUAGAUAGAUUAUCUUUCCAUAAGGUUGAGCGAUCUGAUCUGACAAAUGUUUUAAAUGCUACACUCAUGAACUUAUCACCCAUCAACUUUGUCUUGCUCCCUAUGCUUAAGGAUAGAGAAGAAUAAAUAUACUUUUGGUUCUAUUGGUGUUUUCCACCAACAGGACCCAUGCACUUGAUCUUUGCCUUGUCUCUAUGAGUAGGUACACUUCGAGCAAAACAUGGAGGAGUUUUACAACUCUCAGACUCUACCAAGUGAAGGAUAUGGAUCUACAAACACAAACACACUGAGCAAGAUACUGCCAAUGCCGCACUUCGAACUGCUGGGCAAACGAAGAACAUGGGUGACACCGUAUCAAGAUGUGCAGACGUCAAGGUCCACACCUGAAUCAAAUGACGCACCUAAAGAAUGAACACGGUGAGAAGUCUUGUUCAGAAGACUUAAAACAUUGAACCCUCGCUGAAAGGUAAAAUUGGUAGUUAUCCAUAUUUAUCCUUUCUGCAUUCCCUUUCCCUUUAAUUUCUUACUUUCCUUAAAUAGCUUAUUAGUUAAUCAUGCUAUCUUGAAAAGAAAAUAAAAAUGUUAAAAACAGUAAGCCCCAUGUGAGUAUGCUCGUGGCAUAAAACCUAUAAGUACAUUCACUGUGGUGGCGUAAAAAUAAAAAUAUUCUUGUCCUAUAAAAAUGAAAAUAUAAAAAUAAAUUUAUGAUCCUACCAAAGAGAGUAAUGUUUAUUAGAGGAAGCUCAACAUGAUAAAGGCAAAGAGAUUUUAUUCUAACCAGUUCUACAAAGCUUUGUUGUCUAUUUGAGCUCCAUAGAAUUCAAGGAUCAAAGAAGACUAGCAGACGGGGGACAUCCUAAUCACUGUCAGGGUGCUGCCGACAUUCAAAUACACCUCCGCCACCUGCUAGCUACAUUAGAAGAAAUUGCGUCAAAAAUCCAGCU
rnacentral:lncRNA from 1 species